rnacentral:rRNA from 1 species
AGGGCGGGUUUCCUUUUCCAUGUAAGGCGCACGAUGAAGCCUUUCGGGGUGGAUUAGUGGCGAACGGGUGAGUAACACGGGGGCAAUCUGCCCUUCACUCUGGGACAAGCCCUGGAAACGGGGUCUAAUACCGGAUAACACUCUGUCCUGCAUGGGACGGGGUUAAAAGCUCCGGCGGUGAAGGAUGAGCCCGCGGCCUAUCAGCUUGUUGGUGGGGUAAUGGCCUACCAAGGCGACGACGGGUAGCCGGCCUGAGAGGGCGACCGGCCACACUGGGACUGAGACACGGCCCAGACUCCUACGGGAGGCAGCAGUGGGGAAUAUUGCACAAUGGGCGAAAGCCUGAUGCAGCGACGCCGCGUGAGGGAUGACGGCCUUCGGGUUGUAAACCUCUUUCAGCAGGGAAGAAGCGAAAGUGACGGUACCUGCAGAAGAAGCGCCGGCUAACUACGUGCCAGCAGCCGCGGUAAUACGUAGGGCGCAAGCGUUGUCCGGAAUUAUUGGGCGUAAAGAGCUCGUAGGCGGCUUGUCACGUCGGAUGUGAAAGCCCGGGGCUUAACCCCGGGUCUGCAUUCGAUACGGGCUAGCUAGAGUGUGGUAGGGGAGAUCGGAAUUCCUGGUGUAGCGGUGAAAUGCGCAGAUAUCAGGAGGAACACCGGUGGCGAAGGCGGAUCUCUGGGCCAUUACUGACGCUGAGGAGCGAAAGCGUGGGGAGCGAACAGGAUUUAGAUACCCUGGUAGUCCACGCCGUAAACGUUGGGAACUAGGUGUUUGGCGACAUUCCACGUCGUCGGUGCCGCAGCUAACGCAUUAAGUUCCCCGCCUGGGGAGUACGGCCGCAAGGCUAAAACUCAAAGGAAUUGACGGGGGCCCGCACAAGCAGCGGAGCAUGUGGCUUUAUUUCGACGCAACGCGAAAGAACCUUACCAAGGCUUGACAUUAUUACCGGAAAGCAUCAGAGAUGGUGCCCCCCUUGUGUGUUCGGUAUACAGGUGUGCAUUGCUGUCGUCAAGCUCGUGUCCGUGAGAAUGUGGAUAAGUUCCCGCACGAGCGCUAUCCUUUGUUCUGUGUGCCAGCAUGCCUUCGGGGUGGAUGGUGGGGACUCUCACAGUGAGAUACUGUCCUGGGUGGUCCUAAUCUCGA